rnacentral:lncRNA from 1 species
UUGAGGUUUCGUCAGCCGAGGUCCGAGCGCAACUUCCCCGAUGUUCCGACCGGAGUUCCUCGCUUCUGAUGUGCAUUUUGUGUCUGGCAAAGAGGAUAAGGAAUAUCGUCUAGUCAUGGAGUAGCGCACCGCCCAUGGGAGUGAUGUGGUGUCUAUGGCGAGGUCGAGGCCAAUCCGCACCUAGUGGAGGUGAAGUGUGAAGUCUUCGCCAGGGGAAAUGAGGAGCACAAGAAUGAGAGGACGAUCAAGAAGAGGAUGAGGAAGGCCACUCACGGGUUAUCCAGCUUGAGUUGGACGACGGCAUUGAUUGGGACAACCUCGCACUCAUAGUGGUGAGUGUAUUUUGUACACUCAUUACACCAUUGUUUAAACCGGGCAUUUCGAGAUAAUCACUUUGAUUUUAUCACUAAGGACUAAUAAAUGCAAAACAUUGCAAAUCCCUUUGUAUAGUUUGUUUCUACAGGUUUUGAACCAUAAAAGGGAAGGAAAUGGAGCAACACAUGGAAAUAUGAUGAUAUUAUAUCAAGCCAUAUCAAAGGGGGCGCCACAAGCUAUCUAGAAGAGAAGACGAUGUUUGGUACGCUCGUACCAUGCACCGCUGGCACCGUGAUGUCAUCCCUAUCAACCUUCAUAAAACGUGUGAGGCCCUAUUCACAAUGAAACGACCUCGAAGGCACGCCAUACACAACAGAGAAUAAGGAUCAUCUGUCCCAGAAACCCUCUCCACUGCCAUCAUCAUCGCCAUCUCCAUCUCCAUACCCACUCUCCCAUAGUUUUCCAUACUUUAUGCCAAUGAUUCAUCUACCAUCAAUGUCAUCUACAAUGUUUUCCAUCUUUGAUUCGAUUGCGAUGUGUGCGUAACCCCUUGAGGCAAUGGGCUGAGGCAUAAGCCUUGCAGCCCUCUAUACUUGUACAUAGGUAAGAUCCUAAGUGCAAGUAUAAGGUUGUAAGUAAAGUCCUCAUACUCAUGCCUAUAUCCAUCUAUUUGAUCUCCCUAUUUGUCAAAACUACUAUUUGUUCAGUCCCGGAAAUGGAAACUUCUUAUGAGAAUAAUAACUUGCUUGAAUCCAUGUCUAAUAGCAAAACUUCCCAUGGGUUCGAUACCUAGGGUCACCCUUGAGGAAAGAGUGAGUACUAUCUACAUCUAAAACUAGAUCAAAGGUAACCAACUAGUAAUGAUGAGUAGUGUGUCUAUUGUAGUACCAUUGUUUUCAUGUUUUAAGUUUGAACUCAUGUUUAACUUUAAACAUUUGUAGUUAGAAAAUGUUGAAAUGUGCAAUGUUGUUUCCCUAUUUUGCAUCAUCUACUAUGGCAGAAAAUUUUCUAGUGCACUAUUGUACAUCAUUUGCUGAUGCAGAAAAUUUGCUGGUGAC